rnacentral:rRNA from 1 species
AUUGAACGCUGGCGGCAGGCCUAACACAUGCAAGUCGAGCGCGCGGCGGGCGGGUGAGUAAUGUAUGGGGACUGUGCGAUAGAGGGGGAGAACUACUGGAAACGGUGGCUCAUAUCGCAUACUCUCGGAUAACGCUUAUGGGAUUAGCUAGUGGGUAAGGUAAUGGCUUACCUAGGCGACGAUCCCUAGCCGGUCUGAGAGGAUGAUCAACCACACUGGGACUGAGACACGGCCCAGACUCCUACGGAGGCAGCAGUGGGGAAUAUUGCACAAUGGGCGAAAGCCUGAUGCAGCCAUGCCGCGUGUAUGAAGAAGGCCCUAGGGUUGUAAAGUACUGUCAGUCGGGAGGCGUUACCGACAGAAGAAGCACCGGCUAACUCCGUGCCAGCAGCCGCGGUAAUAC